UGUGUGUUUACUCAUGAGUAUCUAAAAGAGACCUCUGAGUCUAUUUCAAUGGCUUUCCUUCUCCUCUCUGUAUCAUACUCGAGUUGGAAACCAUAGGGUUUGUGGUUUUGGCGAGUUUUUAUCUUGUGUUUGGAUUAGAGUUCUGUUUCAGAACCCUGGGCUCUCCCAAACUCAUUUAGAGUCUGUGAAUUGGAUUCGAACCUGUUGAUUAUGAUUUUGAAACUUUUCUAUGCUAUCCUUUUCUAAUUAACACAACGAC
rnacentral:lncRNA from 1 species